GCAUGUGGUUUAAUUCGAAGCAACGCGAAGAACCUUACCUAAGCUUGACAUCCCAAUGACAUCUCCUUAAUCGGAGAGUUCUCUUCGGGGACAUUGGUGACAGGUGGUGCAUGGUUGUCGUCAGCUCGUGUCGUGAGAUGUUGGGUUAAGUCCCGCAACGAGCGCAACCCUUGUCUUUAGUUGCCAUCAUUAAGUUGGGCACUCUAGAGAGACUGCCAGGGAUAACCUGGAGGAAGGUGGGGAUGACGUCAAAUCAUCAUGCCCCUUAUGCUUAGGGCUACACACGUGCUACAAUGGGUAGUACAGAGGGUUGCCAAGCCGUAAGGUGGAGCUAAUCCCUUAAAGCUACUCUCAGUUCGGAUUGUAGGCUGAAACUCGCCUACAUGAAGCUGGAGUUACUAGUAAUCGCAGAUCAGAAUGCUGCGGUGAAUGCGUUCCCGGGUCUUGUACACACCGCCCGUCACACCACGGGAGUUGGAGACGCCCGAAGCCGAUUAUCUAACCUUUUGGAAGAAGUCGUCGAAGGUGGAAUCAAUAACUGGGGUGAAGUCGUAACAAGGUAGCCGUAUCGGAAGGUGCGGCUGGAUCACCUCCUUUCUAAGGA
rnacentral:rRNA from 1 species